rnacentral:rRNA from 1 species
UACGGGGGGCGCAAGCGUUGUUCGGAAUCACUGGGCGUAAAGCGCGUGUAGGCGGCUUGGCAAGUCGGGUGUGAAAUCCCGAGGCUCAACCUCGGAACUGCACUCGAAACUGCCUCGCUCGAGUCCCGGAGAGGGUGGCGGAAUUCCCGGUGUAGGGGUGAAAUCCGUAGAUAUCGGGAGGAACACCAGUGGCGAAGGCGGCCACCUGGACGGUGACUGACGCUGAGACGCGAAAGCGUGGGGAGCAAACAGG